GUGUGGUAAGUGUUUAUUUACGUCGGUAUCGGAAGAAUUUUGUCGGGAAAUAUUCACCCAGCUUUUGCGUAAAUAAAUAGAAAAUCAUAGAAUUAAAAGAUACAAACAUAGUGUGUGUGUGUGAAAAUGUGAUGAGGCCAAGCAAAUGCAUUGAGUUGUGAAACAAAAAUCUUUAAGCAACAUGGAAAUCGGGCCAAAGUGGAUAAUUAAAUGAAACGUGGGUGAGGAAAAUACGAAAAGAAAUACAUGCUAAAUACAAAUUAAAAAAUAUAUAUGCUAGAAUACAGCACAGCAAUACAGUGUGGCAAUCAAGAGUUCCAACUUUCAACCAAGACAGCGUUUGUUUUUUGAUCGUGCAAUGGUUUUUAUUUUUGUGUUUGGUCGCACGGAUGGAUAAACGAAGGAAUAAUUACGAAACGCCAAACAUCAUUUGGGUAAAAUUGAAGGAAAAUUUGGGGCAAAAAACAGCUAUGAAUCAUGGCCAUUUUUCUGUUUCACUUUCUUUAAAAAAAAACUAAAACAAGAAAAAAUCUGA